AUUGAACGCUGGCGGCAGGCCUAACACAUGCAAGUCGAGCGAGCGGCGGACGGGUGAGUAAUGUCUGGGAAACUGCCUGAUGGAGGGGGAUAACUACUGGAAACGGUAGCUAAUACCGCAUACCCUCAGAUGUGCCCAGAUGGGAGUAGCUAGUAGGUGGGGAAAUGGCUCACCAAGGCGACGAUCCCUAGCUGUUCUGAGAGGAUGACCAGCCAAACUGGAACUGAGACACGGUCCAGACGCCUACGGGAGGCAGCAGUGGGGAAUAUUGCACAAUGGGCGAAAGCCUGAUGCAGCCAUGCCGCGUGUGUGAAGAAGGCCUUCGGGUUGUAAAGCACUUUCAGCGGGGAGGCGUUACCCGCAGAAGAAGCACCGGCUAACUCCGUGCCAGCAGCCGCGGUAAUAC
rnacentral:rRNA from 1 species